rnacentral:rRNA from 1 species
UACGAAGGGGGCUAGCGCUGCUCGGAAUCACUGGGCGUAAAGGGUGCGUAGGCGGGUUUUUAAGUCAGGGGUGAAAUCCUGGAGCUCAACUCCAGAACUGCCUUUGAUACUGAAGAUCUUGAGUCCGGGAGAGGUGAGUGGAACUGCGAGUGUAGAGGUGAAAUUCGUAGAUAUUCGCAAGAACACCAGUGGCGAAGGCGGCUCACUGGCCCGGUACUGACGCUGAGGCACGAAAGCGUGGGGAGCGAACAGG